CCUACGGGAGGCAGCAGUAGGGAAUCUUUCACAAUGGGCGAAAGCCUGAUGGAGCAACGCCGCGUGCAGGAUGAAGGCCUUCGGGUUGUAAACUGCUUUUAUAAGCGAGAAAUAUGAUGGUAACUUAUGAAUAAGGAUCUGCUAACUACGUGCCAGCAGCAGCGGUCAUACGUAGGAUCCGAGCAUUAUCCGGAGUGACUGGGUGUAAAGAGUUGCGUAGGUGGCAUAAUAAGUAGCUAGUGAAAUCUGGUGGCUCAACCAUUCAGACUAUUAGCUAAACUGUUAAGCUCGAGACCGUUAGGGGUAACUGGAAUUUCUAGUGUAGGAGUGAAAUCCGUAGAUAUUAGAAGGAACACCAAUAGCGUAGGCAGGUUGCUGGGACGGUUCUGACACUAAGGCACGAAAGCGUAGGGAGCAAACGGGAUUAGAUACCCGGGUAGUC
rnacentral:rRNA from 1 species